rnacentral:tRNA from 1 species
GGAAGCAUAGCUCAGUUGGGAGAGCAUCUGCCUUACAAGCAGAGGGUCAUAGGUUCGAGCCCUAUUGUUUCCA